UACGUAGGGGGCAAGCGUUGCCCGGAAUCAUUGGGCGUAAAGAGCGUGUAGGCGGUCCGGUAAGUCGGCUGUGAAAGUCCAGGGCUCAACCCUGGGAUGCCGGUCGAUACUGCCGGACUAGAGUUCGGAAGAGGCGAGUGGAAUUCCCGGUGUAGCGGUGAAAUGCGCAGAUAUCGGGAGGAACACCCAUGGCGAAGGCAGCUCGCUGGGACGUUACUGACGCUGAGACGCGAAAGCGUGGGGAGCAAACAGG
rnacentral:rRNA from 1 species